AAAUAUGACCACGAGACCGAUAGCGAACCCCCCCCGUGAGGGAAAGUUGAAAAGAACUUUGAAGAGAGAGUUCAAGAGUACGUGAAACCGUUCAGGGGUAAACCUGAGAAACCCAAAAGAUCGAAUGGGGAGAUUCAUCGUCAACGUGUCAAGUAUAUGUGCGAGUUAUGAUAUAGAUUAUCCUUGUGAUAUUAUUUAUACUUGCUUGUAUGUUUUAUUGCUGGGCAUUGUCGGCGUGCACUUCUCCCCUAGUAGGACGUCGCGACCCGUUGGAUGUAUCGGUCUAUGACUCGAAUGGUAGUCUUUGAUUUUUAUUAAUUAA
rnacentral:rRNA from 1 species